rnacentral:ncRNA from 2 species
AUAAAUCUGCAAUCAACAGGUUUGGCAUCGAUAAUAUGCUAGGGAAGGAGGUGUAAAUCCUCCGCAGCCCCCGCUGCUGUAAUGCUGACGACCCCGUAUUGACCACUGAUCGACCGAUCGGGAAGGCCGGGUGAGGAUGACGCUGAGCCAGAAGACCUGCCUGUUGAUUUAUUUCAAC